GGAUGCGGCAGCUUAUAAUGCAGUCGACGGUAAGGUCUCUUCGGAGAUACACGAGUGGCGCACGGGUGCGUAACGCGUAUGCAACCUACCUUUAACUGGGAAAUAGCCCCGAGAAAUCGGGAUUAAUGUCCCAUAUUAUUCUCUGAAUACCUAUUCUAAGAAUGAAAGCUCCGGCGGUUAAAGAUGGGCAUGCGUGACAUUAGCUAGUUGGUGAGGUAACGGCUCACCAAGGCAACGAUGUCUAGGGGUCCUGAGAGGGUUAACCCCCACACUGGUACUGAGACACGGACCAGACUCCUACGGGAGGCAGCAGUAAGGAAUAUUGGGCAAUGGACGCAAGUCUGACCCAGCCAUGCCGCGUGAAGGAUGAAUGUCCUAUGGAUUGUAAACUUCUUUUGUGCAGGAAAAACCCCUCGGUUUCGUACCGGGGCUGAUUGUACUGUACGAAUAAGCAUCGGCUAACUCCGUGCCAGCAGCCGCGGUAAUACGGAGGAUGCAAGCGUUAUCCGGAUUCAUUGGGUUUAAAGGGUGCGCAGGCGGAAUGUUAAGUCAGUGGUGAAAUCUUCCGGCUCAACCGGGAAACUGCCAUUGAUACUGCCAUUCUUGAGUACAGUUGAAGUGGGCGGAAUGUGUCAUGUAGCGGUGAAAUGCUUAGAUAUGACACAGAACACCGAUAGCGAAGGCAGCUCACUAAGCUGUAACUGACGCUCAUGCACGAAAGCGUGGGGAUCAAACAGGAUUAGAUACCCUGGUAGUCCACGCUGUAAACGAUGAUCACUCGUUGUUGGCGAUACACUGUCAGCGACUGAGCGAAAGCAUUAAGUGAUCCACCUGGGGAGUACGGCGGCACGUUGAAACUCAAAGGAAUUGACGG
rnacentral:rRNA from 1 species